AACGCGAAGAACCUUACCAAGGUUUGACAUGCAGGGAAAAGCCGUAGAGAUACGGUGUCCGUAAGGGUCCUGCACAGGUGCUGCAUGGCUGUCGUCAGCUCGUGUCGUGAGAUGUUGGGUUAAGUCCCGCAACGAGCGCAACCCUUACCCCCAGUUGCCAUCAUUUAGUUGGGCACUCUGGUGGAACCGCCUCGGAUAACGGGGAGGAAGGUGGGGAUGACGUCAAGUCCUCAUGGCCUUUAUGUCCAGGGCUACACACGUGCUACAAUGGCCGGUACAAACCGUCGCAAACCCGUGAGGGGGAGCUAAUCGGAAAAAGCCGGCCUCAGUUCGGAUCGUAGUCUGCAACUCGACUACGUGAAGCUGGAAUCGCUAGUAAUCGCGGAUCAGAACGCCGCGGUGAAUACGUUCCCGGGCCUUGUACACACCGGAGUA
rnacentral:rRNA from 1 species